CUCAGUUCGGAUCGGAGUCUGNAACCCGACNCCGUGAAGCUGGAUUCGCUAGUAAUCGCGCAUCAGCCAUGGCGCGGUGAAUACGUUCCCGGGCCUUGUACACACCGCCCGUCAAGCCAUGGAAGCCGGGGGUGCCUGAAGUGUGCAGCCGCAAGGAGCGCCCUAAGGUAAAACCGGUGACUGGGGCUAAGUCGUAACAAGGUAGC
rnacentral:rRNA from 1 species